rnacentral:rRNA from 1 species
CCUACGGGGGGCAGCAGUGGGGGAUAUUGCACAAUGGAGGAAACUCUGAUGCAGCAACGCCGCGUGAGGGAAGAAGGUCUUCGGAUUGUAAACCUCUGUCCUCAGGGACGAUAAUGACGGUACCUGAGGAGGAAGCUCCGGCUAACUACGUGCCAGCAGCCGCGGUAAUACGGAGGGAGCAAGCGUUGUCCGGAUUUACGGGGUGUAGAGGGUGCGUAGGCGGCCCUGCAAGUCAGGUGUGAAAACUAUUGGCUUAACUCAUAGAUUGCUCUGGAAUCUGUGGGGCUUGAGUGCAGUAGAGGCAGGCGGUAUUCCCGGUGUAGCGGUGAGAUGCGUGGAGAUCGGGCAGAACACCAGUGGCGAAGGCGGCCUGCUGGGCUUUAACUGACGCUGAGGCACGAAAGCGUGGGCAGCAAACAGGAUUAGAUACCCUAGUAGUC